GAUGAACGCUGGCGGCGUGCCUAAUACAUGCAAGUCGAGCGAACAGACGAGGAGCUUGCUCCUCUGACGUUAGCGGCGGACGGGUGAGUAACACGUGGAUAACCUACCUAUAAGACUGGGAUAACUUCGGGAAACCGGAGCUAAUACCGGAUAAUAUAUUGAACCGCAUGGUUCAAUAGUGAAAGACGGUUUUGCUGUCACUUAUAGAUGGAUCCGCGCCGCAUUAGCUAGUUGGUAAGGUAACGGCUUACCAAGGCGACGAUGCGUAGCCGACCUGAGAGGGUGAUCGGCCACACUGGAGCUGAGACACGGUCCAGACUCCUACGGGAGGCAGCAGUAGGGAAUCUUCCGCAAUGGGCGAAAGCCUGACGGAGCAACGCCGCGUGAGUGAUGAAGGUCUUCGGAUCGUAAAACUCUGUUAUUAGGGAAGAACAAAUGUGUAAGUAACUAUGCACGUCUGGACGGUACCUAAUCAGAAAACCACGGCUAACUACGU
rnacentral:rRNA from 1 species